rnacentral:rRNA from 1 species
GUGACCUCAAAUCAGGUAGGACUACCCGCUGAACUUAAGCAUAUCAAUAAGCGGAGGAAAAGAAACUAACAAGGAUUCCCCUAGUAACUGCGAGUGAAGCGGGAAAAGCUCAAAUUUAAAAUCUGUCAGUCUUUGGCUGUCCGAGUUGUA